GAUGAAGAACGUAGCGAAAUGCGAUAAGUAAUGUGAAUUGCAGAAUUCAGUGAAUCAUCGAAUCUUUGAACGCACAUUGCGCCCCUUGGUAUUCCGAGGGGCAUGCCUGUUCGAGCGUCAUUAUAACCCCUCAAGCUCAGCUUGGUGUUGGGGCCUGCUGCACUGGCAGCCCUUAAAAUCAGUGGCGGCGCCAUCUGGCUCUAAGCGUAGUAAUUCUUCUCGCUAUGUAGUCCUGGUGGAUGCUUGCCAUCAACCCCCAAUUUUUCUAUGGUUGACCUCGGAUCAGGUAGGGAUACCCGCUGAACUUAAGCAUAUCAAUAAGCGGAGGA
rnacentral:misc_RNA from 1 species